UCAUUUCUUCCUGGCAGGAUCCCUCUGAGAUAGGCUCUGCUUGGGCCAUGUGGACAAGGAAAGCGAGGCUGAGACUGGGAGGGUCCUGGCCAAGGUUACCCUGAGAAGAUAGUGGUUAAGAGAGGGCUUUGACCCAAGUCUGUCUGGCUCAUGAGUCUGACCCCACUGUGUCAGCGAGACCCAGCUGGGCCUCUUUGCCCUACAGAUGAGUGCCGUCAGCUGGGCCAGUUUUGCCCUACAGAUGAGUGUCGUCAGCUGGGCCAGUUUUGCCCUACAGAUGAGUGCCGUCCGCUGGGCCAGUGUCCUGGCAGGGGCCCGCAGCCCAUCUUUCUUUUCAUUUGCCCUUUUAAAAUAAUUGUGUCGGCCGAGCGUGGUGGCUCACACCUGUAAUCCCAGCACUUUGGGAGGCCGAGGUGGAUCACAAGGUCAGGAGUUCGAGACCAGCCUGGCCAAUGUAGGCUGGGGGACAGUUGGUCCUGGAGCAGCAGUUUCACCUUGGAAUAGCCUGGGUGUGGCACACCCUGGGUGUCUGCAUGGGGGUUGCUCACGAGGGAUGGGGCUCUGGGCAGAACACACACCGCCCCAUUGUGGCAGUCACAUUCCUUCCUGACAGGUGGGGCUCGCCACCAGCUGC
rnacentral:lncRNA from 1 species